UACGGGGGGGGCAAGCGUUGUUCGGAAUUACUGGGCGUAAAGGGCUCGUAGGCGGCCAACUAAGUCAGACGUGAAAUCCCUCGGCUUAACCGGGGAACUGCGUCUGAUACUGGAUGGCUUGAGUUUGGGAGAGGGACGCGGAAUUCCAGGUGUAGCGGUGAAAUGCGUAGAUAUCUGGAGGAACACCGGUGGCGAAGGCGGCAUCCUGGACCGGUAUUGACGCUGAGGCGCGAAAGCCAGGGGAGCAAACGGG
rnacentral:rRNA from 1 species